ACUGUGAAGGAAAGGUGAAAAGAACCCCGAGCAGGGGAGUGAAAUAGUUCCUGAAACCAUACGCCUACAAGCGGUCGGAGCACAGCAAUGUGUGACGGCGUGCCUUUUGCAUAAUGAUCCUACGAGUUACCGUAUUUGGCAAGGUUAAGGGUCAUGAGGCCUGCAGCCGAAGCGAAAGCGAGUCUGAACAGGGCGUCAAGUCAGAUGCGGUAGACGCGAAACCAAGUGAUCUACACUUGGCCAGGAUGAAGUCCCGGUAACACGGGAUGGAGGUCCGCACCAAUAAGCGUUGAAAAGCUUCUGGAUGAGCUGAGGGUAGGGGUGAAAGGCUAAUCAAACUUGGAGAUAGCUCGUACUCCCCGAAAUGCAUUUAGGUGCAGCCUCGCGGGUUACUGAUGUGAGGUAGAGCGACUGAUUGGAUGCGAGGGCUUCACCGCCUAUCAAGUCCUGACAAACUCCGAAUGCGCAUCAGUUUUACCGCGGGAGUGAGGGCAUGGGUGCUAAGGUCCGUGCCCGAGAGGAGAAGAAUCCGGAC
rnacentral:rRNA from 2 species